CACUCCAAUAAUUGUUGGACUUAUAUUGACUAAAAUAUGCGUAGAUCUACAUGUAUCUAUACUUGGAGAUUCUUAGUACCAGGCGUUUAUUCAAGCCCAGCCUUUAUUUGAACAUUUACGGUACAUACACUAGAACUCAUGAGAACUGUCUGCAUUCUCUCUAUUUCUCUUUAUGGCUGACAUUGAUGAUUCUGUGACCGAGGAGGACAGGUACAUUAAUGUGCCUCCUCCCAAUGUUGAGGAGGAACAGCAAGCAUGCAAUUUAGCAUCACAUGUGUAUGUACAUGUAUGUUAAAUAUCUGUCGUGUUUGUUGGUUUCUUGAUUGGUGGUCUAUUCUGGAGAAUUAUUGCUGACAUCAUUGGACAUAAAAGGGUGCUAUUAAUAGUAACAGUUCUCAUUAUUUUUGUUUGGUCUUGCAAGUGCAGCUGCUCCUAAUUAUGGCAGUUUGUUGUUGUUUCGUUGUCUGGCAGGCUUUGGUAUCGGAGGAACAGCUCAGACAGUUACGCACUACACUGAGUUCUUGCCUAAGAAACUCCGUGGGGCCUGUCUGGUACUGAUAGAGGUCUGGCGGGCUAUAGGGAGCUGUUUGGCAGCAUUGCUAGCACUGGGGGUCAUUCCUAAUGUUCCUGAUCCUAUCGAUGUCUCCAAUGGGGAUUUUGAGAACAUUAACUGGAGGAUCUACAUAGCACUCUGUGCUUUACCAUAGUAAAGUGAAGUUUUUUACCAUACUGUGUUUUUCAUAUUUGUUCCUGAGUCAGCAAGAUUCCAUAUUUCAAAAGGACACAAUCAAAAAGGACAAAGAGUCAUAGAAAGCAUUGCCAGAAUUAACUUGAAACCUCCACCAAAGGGCCGGCUUGUUUCUCAAGAUGAAAAAGAGAUGAUAGAAGAAGAGAAGAAGGCAGCAGCUGAUCCUGAACACACUAACAAUGAGCCAAUACUAGGAGCAGACUAAUACAUGAAAACCUGUAAAGCAAAAUGAAAAGGGAUACCAAAGUGGAUGCUUCUUAUGAGAAUGCAGCUGCUGGAUUAGUAUAAACAUCCUAAAGGAAUAAUAGGAAAAAAAUCCUGAUUCAAGUGAAGUGGAAUAAUGUUAAUGGGCCUUAAUGUACUUUCAGUUAGACCAUAUGCUACAUAAAAUGGCUGUAACUUGAAAAAUUUUAGUCGGAAUCAGUGCAAACUUUCUACACAGCAUAAGGACAU